UACGGAGGGUGCAAGCGUUAUCCGGAUUCACUGGGUUUAAAGGGUGCGUAGGCGGGCAGGUAAGUCAGUGGUGAAAUCUCCGAGCUUAACUCGGAAACUGCCAUUGAUACUAUUUGUCUUGAAUAUUGUGGAGGUAAGCGGAAUAUGUCAUGUAGCGGUGAAAUGCUUAGAUAUGACAUAGAACACCAAUUGCGAAGGCAGCUGGCUACACAAAUAUUGACACUGAGGCACGAAAGCGUGGGGAUCAAACAGG
rnacentral:rRNA from 1 species